UUUGUGGACCAUUGGAUGAAGAUCGACGGUCGGGAUUUAAUUUUGGGGGAGAUGUUUUUGACUUGAUGGUAUUGAUGGUGACACAAUAAGGCUCCCCACCUUUUUGGCAGAGGGAUGGGUCUUUCCUUUUCUUCCCUUCUUAAGUCGACUCCCUCUCCUUUCUCUAUAGUCUCUCGGUUUUAGCUUGAAGGUGGUGGGUUCUUUGCCGAUUUUUCUCUCUCUCUCUCUUGGAAGGUGAUUUGCAAGUCAUGGAGGGCUGUUCCUGAGCCUGUAAAAUCAGCCAUAAGGAGGAGAAGAAGCUGCGGAAAGGAGGAAGCAGAAGCUGUCUAGAUUUGGCCAUAUGGGUUGUGUUAUUUCCAGUAUAUUGGAUGGAUGCGGUGCAUUGGAUUCAGGGAAGGUUCGAGAUAAAAGAAGCACAACACCAUCUUGAGAAAAUUCUUGACAUUUGAGAAUUGAAUGGAAAUAUAUGUUCAUGAUAUAUGACAUCUCAAGAAGAAAAGAACUUACGUGUGAGGGGAUCAUAAACUCGUUGGACCUUUAGGCCAAGAGGAUAGCCAACAAAUACACAACGAUGAGCUUGUUGAUCUAGUUUAUGUAUUGGCAUAUGAUUGGUGGCAUAACACGGAAAUCCAAAAGUGCAGAGAUGGUUGUACACAGGUGGUCUUCUGUGGAGUAGUUGAUAUGGAGAUUUAUUAAAAAGAAGUGACAUAGGCAAGCGAUUGAUCAAAUAGCAUAAUGUAUCAAAUCAAAAGCUGCAUGUGAAGAAAUUGAACUAGAUGGAAAUGAUAAACAAGUUUGUUUGGCUAAAUGGCAUAUUUCACAGACACGAUUGGAAUUAAAAUGAAUUUCUGGAUUGACUUUACUAAGAACUUGAAGAGGGCCUCAAGAUCGAUGUCCAAGUCUUUGGUGCUACAGAUGUGAGCGUUAGCUGAUGUUGUAGGUUAAGGUCAUGUUCUGAUGUUUUGUAAGGCAGUAGAGACCAUUAUGUUGCUUGCCUACGCCAAUCAUCUUGCUCGUAGCAACAUCCUGCACAACACAAAAAUCAGGGAAGAAUAUCAUUAUACACUUGCUAAUAGUAAAUUGACUUGGAAUUUAGGAACUUUAAGCACUUCAUCAAGUUUGAUAUGUGGUGUGACAUUUAAAGAACCAAUUGAUUCAAUUGUGUCUGACCACUAUUUAGCAACUAAAUAGUGGCUGAUUUGGGUACAUACUUUUUAUCUAAUGACUCAGUUGAAGAUGUUACAUGAUCUGUAGCUCCACUAUCAAUAAUCCAGGGUAAGUUUGAGAGACAAGUGACUAGAAUAAUGACAGGUGAUGGCGUAAUAAUACCCGUGUUAUUUGCAAAGUGUGGAGGAUUACCAUCAUUAUUUUGCCGAAACAUGUUCAUCAAUUGAAGGUACUCCUCGAUUGUAAAUCUU